rnacentral:rRNA from 1 species
AUUGAACGCUGGCGGCAUGCUUUACACAUGCAAGUCGAACGGUAGAGGGGGCAACCCCUUGAGAGUGGCGAACGGGUGAGUAAUGCAUCGGAACGUGCCCAGUAGUGGGGGAUAGCCCGGCGAAAGCCGGAUUAAUACCGCAUACGACCUUAGGGUGAAAGCGGGGGAUCGCAAGACCUCGCGCUAUUGGAGCGGCCGAUGUCAGAUUAGGUAGUUGGUGGGGUAAAGGCCUAUCAAGCCGACGAUCUGUAGCUGGUCUGAGAGGACGACCAGCCACACUGGGACUGAGACACGGCCCAGACUCCUACGGGAGGCAGCAGUGGGGAAUUUUGGACAAUGGGCGCAAGCCUGAUCCAGCCAUGCCGCGUGCGGGAAGAAGGCCUUCGGGUUGUAAACCGCUUUUGUCAGGGAAGAAAUCUUCUGGGCUAAUACCCUGGGAGGAUGACGGUACCUGAAGAAUAAGCACCGGCUAACUACGUGCCAGCAGCCGCAGUAA